AACACGGCGCCUAAGCAGCUCAAACGCUCAAAAGUUUGGUUAUACUUUACCAGAACGGAUGACAACAGGGCAACUUGCAAUACUUGCAAAGUAGAUAUUUCAUUUAAGGGAGGAAACACUACGAAUAUGCAAAAGCAUUUGCUCACAAAACACGCGAUGAACUUAAAUGAAUGUCGUGUUUUUAAUUCCGCUCCGGAGUCGUGAAUCUCAACCCAGCAGCAGCGGUUUGCACGUCCUCUCCCGUUAAUGCGGCAGGUCCAAGCCAGCUCCGAACAGCCAGAACUCUGGUUCAGACUGGUAGAUGUUGUACAGUGUCCUCCAUCGAGAGUGUCGCACAUGAUGCAACCGCCUAUCGAGUAUCCGGCAGCAAACGUCUCUGCAGGACAAUCAGGGCUCUCCCGAACCCAAGCUUCUUGUCGACAGUAGAGUGUCAGUUUCAUUAAUGCUGUUCUUGUUGUGAUUUAUUGAUAAAAAACUGCUGAGUUUAAUUUAACACUUUAUUAUUAUUGAAUGUAAUGAUGAUUGCAGACUGCAUAGAGGAAUAGCAUUAGCAUAGCGAGGGCAUUAGUAUGUUAGCUCUGUUUUCCUUUGACCCUGUGUCGAGGAGGCUGCUGUCAGGAUCUGCAGAUCUGCUGAAAGCAGGAAAAUGUGAAAUGCAAACUCAACACUUUUUCUGUUUAACUCCCUCACAGGAUCUGCUGCUUUGUUUAUUAAUGGUUUGUUUUGUCUUUUUUGUUUCUUACAUGCAUCCUUUCACAGCUCCACACAAGAUUCUGUUUUUUUUUGUUGUUGUUGUUGUUUAUUGCUUCUUUUAUGUUUUGUUAUGUAUCUUUUUCAUCUUUUCUAUUCAAUGAGUUUAGUUGUUAUUUUGCACUUGUUAAGAAGCUCAGGUUUGACAAAAGCAGCUGAAUGAACAUCAGAGAGAGAUUUUUCUGCCUUCUGUCUUUUUAUUCCUUUCUUUUCUUCCCAUUAAAGUGUUUUUUCUUUCUUUCUGAUAAAAGCUCACAGACAAGGAGAGAGAAAAGAGAUAACUCUGUUAUUGUAGCUCUAAGUCUCUCUGACUCUAAAUCUCUUUUAAGAGGAGGUAUAAAACUACCUGACUGCAUCCCUUAUUAGCAUUGCACUGUGUGUGUGUGAGUGUGUGUGUGUUUCCCUGCAUUGCUAUCUUUGUGAGAACCACUCUUAGGACUCUAUCAUCUUUGCAAGGACGUCAAAUACUGUCAUUUUGUCUUUGUUGGUGGUGCCCUGACACAACUGCAAUAAGGAGGAAUAAAAACCCCAUGCACCAAAUCACAAAUCCUCUCUGAUUGGGUAAAUAUAGCUUUUUUCCCCUCACAGGUUAUUUGUACACUAUCUAUACAUGCACUGCCCAAGUUUCACAUCAUAGCUUUCCAACACACUUUGUUUCUGAUUCUUACAGCCAGAAACACUACUGUGUAUUACAUGAUGGAUAAGGUUAACCAAGAAAAACCAGAUCUUUACUUUGACGUUUGUCACAACGAAGUUAAAACUCACAAUCCUUUUUGCUAAGUGUAAUUUGCUGACUUUUAGCAUUUAUUGUGUUAGAACAGUGUAGAGGAGACAGGAAAGCUGAGGAGAGAGAACAGAGAGACAGAUGCAGCAGAUGCCCUCAUGGCGGAUUUAAACUCGGCUUAUGGCAUAUGGGUCACUUGCUCAACCCAGUGAGCUAAACCAUUGCCCAAAACAUAUGAUCCUUAAUGCUGUGCUUUUAUAACUGCUACAACUUGACUUGAGAAAAUGCCUUGUUGAUUCUACAGGUCAGAUGAGAAUGGCCAGACUCCUUCCAGCUGACAGGAAGUUGACAGUAACUCAAAUAACGACUCAUUACAUGCAUCCUUUGUCCCAUAUCCACUAUCCCUCCUCUGCAUAUGUACAAUGAUCUGAACCUUGUCUCUCUAAGUUUGUCUCCAAACUAUUCAACUUGAGCUGACCCUCUGAAGUGUACUCAUCUCUAAUCCUGUCCAUCCUGGUUACUUCCACCUACAAUUUGAGCAUCUUUAACUCUGCUGCACACAUCUCCUGUCUUUUGAUUAGUACUGCUUCUCUGGUGUAUGUAAAAUCCUCAGUGUUGACAAGAAGACAUUUACUAGAAUAUUUUAUAUUGUAGAACAAAG
ensembl:lncRNA